AUAAGGGCGCACGGUGGAUGCCUUGGCACUAGGAGCCGAUGAAGGACGGGACUAACACCGAUAUGCUUUGGGGAGCUGUACGUAAGCUAUGAUCCAGAGAUUUCCGAAUGGGGGAACCCAACAUCUUUAAUAGGAUGUUACGAUUGUGUGAAUACAUAGCACAUUCGAGGUAGACGCAGAGAACUGAAACAUCUAAGUACCUGCAGGAAGAGAAAGAAAAUUCGAUUCCCUGAGUAGCGGCGAGCGAAACGGGAAAAGCCCAAACCAGCAAGCUUGCUUGUUGGGGUUGUAGGACUCCAAUAUGGUAGUUCUUUCAGAUAGUCGAAUGACUUGGAAAAGUCAGUCAAAGAGGGUAAAAACCCCGUAGACGAAAUGUGGAAGACACCUAGGAGGAUCCUGAGUACGGCGGAACACGAGAAAUUCCGUCGGAAUCCGGGAGGACCAUCUCCCAAGGCUAAAUACUCCCUAGUGACCGAUAGUGAACCAGUACCGUGAGGGAAAGGUGAAAAGCACCCCGGAAGGGGAGUGAAAUAGAACCUGAAACCGUGUGCCUACAACAAGUCAAAGCCCGUUAAUGGGUGAUGGCGUGCCUUUUGUAGAAUGAACCGGCGAGUUACGAUUGCAUGCGAGGUUAAGUUGAAGAGACGGAGCCGCAGCGAAAGCGAGUCUGAAUAGGGCGUUUGAGUAUGUAGUCGUAGACCCGAAACCAUGUGAUCUACCCAUGUCCAGGUUGAAGGUGCGGUAAAACGCACUGGAGGACCGAACCCACGUACGUUGAAAAGUGCGGGGAUGAGGUGUGGGUAGCGGAGAAAUUCCAAACGAACUUGGAGAUAGCUGGUUCUCUCCGAAAUAGCUUUAGGGCUAGCCUCGGAAUUGAGAAUGAUGGAGGUAGAGCACUGUUUGGACUAGGGGCCCAUCUCGGGUUACCGAAUUCAGAUAAACUCCGAAUGCCAUUCAUUCAUAUCCGGGAGUCAGACUGUGAGUGAUAA
rnacentral:rRNA from 1 species